AAAAAGCCUCUGAGCAGGUGCCAGAUACUCAUUGUCUUCUGACUGCAUGUCUAGUUUAGCAGUGGCUGGUAGAAGUUACUGAGUUUGCUGCUAAUAGUGUCUGAAGUCAUGGGAUUCAUCCUCAGGUUGCUCCUGUUAUCUCUGCUUGAUCUUGGAUGUCAGGUUAAUGGUGGCCACAGUGGCUCUACUGACAAACAUGGAGAUGAGUCGAUUCUUAGGUUGACAGACAAUGAACCAGUGUUUCCUGUAGAGCCUGUAUACCCAGUAAGGGGUCCAGUUCACUCGUACCUGCCUGUGGUCCCGAGG